ensembl:lncRNA
GCAAAUCGAUCAAACUUUUCUACAGCACGUUAUACCACUCCGGGUCGAGAGGAGCGAUAUAGCAUGGACCGGUUGAAUGACUAUGUCGGAUCGAAGCAUGACCGAAAGCGUGGCAGGGAUUUUCCCUUUGAACUUCUUCCUGUUCCAUGAUUAACCUCCAACUGUUAAAUGUUUCCUCAAUAUUGCUCUAUUUAUUCUGCACAGAGCGUUUCCGGUGUGGCUCAUGCAAAAGAGAAUUGCAACAACACAGCAUGUUUCUCUUCUCCCUUUCACACAGUAAGUAUGUCUGUUGUAGACUGCGCUUUAUAAAUGUCUCUUUGAUUAUUCAAUCAGUCUUUGAAAACUUUAUCGUCAUCACCAGCAUGCUUUGUACCUCAGGCUCAUCAGAGACAAUCGUAUCCAGUGGUGUGGUGGCCAUGGAUUGAGCCAGCCCUGCAAACCCUGUGGAUGGACGAUGCAGUGGACAGUGGGAGGAAGCAUCCUGAAGCUCUCUUUGCAGACCACUGUGUGUGAUUCUCCACUCGCCGACCAGAAAAGACAAACGGCAGGUCUCAGUUGCAGCACCUCAUCCAUCCAUGUCUGAUCUUGCACCGGCAGAUUCAGCAACACAGCCAGAGACUUCCUGUAAUCUAUUACAGUUGUUAAAAAAAAAACGGUCCAGGAACAGGUCACUCAGGUUGAUCCUGUAUAAACAACUGAUAUUGUUUUUCCUUCUUUAAAUAUUGUUGGCUUAUUAGAAAUAUUCUUGUUCAAUUGUUGUUGUUAUUUACUUUAUUGCCAUCAAAUAAAUAUCCAUGUAAAAUUGUCCAAAGUUAGCAUUAUGUUCAUACAUGUUAAAAAUACCUGAAAAUAAAAUGAGUUCAGUGACAGUUAGUGUUUGUUGUAGUCAAUUUAUUAAUAACAAAAAAACUUUUAAACUAAUGCAACACAUAUAACAAUGUCACAAAAUAUUCAAAUAAAUACAUUUCUUAAUGCAUAACUGAUUUUGGAUCUGAUCUUUCAAGAAGUGAAAGUCUGUCCAUCCUCUCACUGAUCGAAUCGAUCGAUUCGGGACCUUGUGAAUCUGAAUCGAAGCCCAACUCGUCUCCACCAAACGCGAGCUCAAUAAUGGCCACAGUGAGCGUGUGAGCAACUAUUUGCCUGCGCUACUGUGCAUGUAUGAAGUGGACCGACUUGUGAUCAGGCACACAUGAGGCCGACCGGCUGAGAAUACUGAAAUCAAAGGAAAUGAAACUCUUCUGUCUGGUGAAAUGUUAUACUUACCAAAUCAUGCUCCCUGGCCUUAUAUCCUUUGCAGGUGGAACUGGACCCAGUUGUGAAAACCAAUGAUUUCGUUCCUGAUUUUGUCUGGCCAACAAAGAGUCCAGGCUGGUGAUGAUCAAUUUAAGAACAGAAACACACACUUCUUACCAAAGAAAUGAAUAUUAUUUUACAGUGUUGCUGAAUCACAUGGACGAAUUUAACACCUGGACACAGUUAUAGCGUGAUGACUGGCAGGAGGAGAUCUCACCCUGUGUUUCUCUGCCUGUGGUAGAGGUGGAACCAGAUCAAGUGGCGCAGAUUCUUGAACAGCCUCAAGUCAGAGCUGGAUUGACCUUUUGUCACCAGGUACUGAUGAGCCCGCUGUGGAGAAACAUCACUGAUGAUGUUCAUGAAUCCCCAGCUGACUCUGGUAACCUUAAUACAGCACAGAAAAAAUGUCACCAUAAUAAUUUUAUGUUGUUAUUAUUGUGAUAAUAACAUAAACAGAUGAAUCAAUGUCAUUAUCUUUGAUGUUUUACACUUAACAUAAUUAAAAAAAACAUGAGUAUAAAAGGUGUUAAAACUCUGAUGCCAUCUUGGAAUACUGCACUUUGCUCAUGUCAUUACAGCAUUUCUCUCUUUCUAAUCAUACAUCUAGAUGUUAUGUCAACACACAUUUAAUCUACAUUAUAAGAGUGCCUUUGUGAUAAAUGUGUCUUUCAUUCUUGAAUUAAAUGGUUAAAUAUUUAAUCUAACUAAACCCUAAAGAUGGAGUCAGAAGACAACAGUCACCUGAAGGGGCUGAAAAUUGUAAAGACCCU